CGAAGAAAAAACUAAGCACAAGCGGUAGGUAAAGCUUGAGAGAUUUGAUAAAUAUAAGAAAUGCAGCGAAAACAAUCAAUUUUAUCCCGUAUUGGGGACGAGGUAAUGAUAAGAUGACAGCCACAACAGUACAUACCGCUAGCUUCGGUUUUGUAACUUUGUAACAAACAGAAGAAAAAAAAAAUACAAUAGUGAUAAAUAAGAGCAGAAGAAAGCAUACAGUCUCCAAACCAAUCGGUUACUGUAGCACAUGUGACAUGCGUACUCUCUGCGAUCGGUCAGACAUCUGACAAAUACUCAAUGUGCAAAAAUAUAACUGACAACAGUCAAUCCCAGUGCGAACGUCACAAUUGUGUGUCCCUUCGAGAAACUACGGCGGUUACUCACCUUAUAUGCUCAGCCGAUCACGUGAGUGACGGCCGCUCCCCGUCAAUUCAAAAACGCCGUCAUUUCUUUGUUGACAGUGAGAGGGAUAACACGUUCAUUAAAAUUAUGGGAGAUACUUAACAUUAUACCGGUCUAAAAGAGGAUUACUGUAUACAAGGACACAAGCGUUAUUCAGUGGUGUCGACGGAAUCGUGACAUAGACGUAUGUCCGGAAUCUGCACGUACCAUAUGGAUACCCCACACACAUAAUGGACGUCAUGACAACAGGUCAGCUGACAGGUCGAACUUUUACUGUAAAACGCUUGACCACAAGUUAUCUCAUCUCAUUGACUUUCUGGUUGUGACUAACCGUUCAACGGUUCCUGAUAAAGCACAACGCGCAUCCCGGAUAUGGCCAGACACAAGACGGCCCGCCACAAAGAUCCUCCAUUACCACGCAACCAACAGCACAAGAUUAUCCAAAGGAUUCCAGACAAACUAUGGAAACGAAGUACAAGUUUUGGGGGACGGGAGUGUUCAAAUUCAGCAGGACGGUGUUUACUGUGUUUAUAGUAUAAUAACAUUUGUUCAUACACCCAGUGACACAGAUGUUCCGAACGACGAGUAUAAGAUAAACAGAAGUCGUCACAGUAACAAGGCGGCCAUACUCUCAUCAGAUACAGUGGGCCAAACAGGACAUCUGGUGACAGAGACCUACAGGACAAUAGACCUGUCUGGAAACUUCCAUUUGAAGAAGGGAGAUUUACUGAACCUUGACAUUCGGAAUAUAUCCGCUGUUUACAUGUAUUCAUUUACACCUGCCAGCUUUUGGGGAGUAUACCAAAUUAAACCAAAGACGUGUUAAGAUUUAUUUCAAUGAAAGUUUCAAAAGCAAGAAAUGCUAUUCAUGUUUCUUCUGAGAAGUAUUUAUGGAGAUGUUAGCGCGUUCCUUUUGUUUUUGUGACGCCUCAGUACCGGUUGUUGACGUUGCCUACCGGUUUGAUUGAAUAUUAUGUCCUUGUGUGUUUAAAUUCUUACAAAUGAUUUACCUGUUGUUUUAUAAUACUCUGUUGAAAUAAUUGUUAAUGGGACAUAUUGAACACGUUACAGCCUGUGAAUAGACAGAUUACCUACAGAAUAUGGGCAGCUUGCAUUAAAUGAUGUGAAAGCGUUGACCUUUCAAAAGGAUACUGCAAUAUAGGACCAUAUAUUCAGAAGGUGAAACCAAGCACUGCAUAUAUUUCAUUUCAGGGAUGCAUUGCUUGGGUUAAUGAAACUAACCCAAGCAGAGCAUGAUUGUCUCACCACCCUUCACUAUAUGUAACAUUAAAAAGUGAUUAGUAAAAUCGAUA
rnacentral:misc_RNA from 1 species